UGCUGUUUAUUUCCACGUUCAGCAGAUACAUGAGCAUUCAUUUUGACUAGUUUUUGGAUUUUACCACCUGAUGAAUGCAUGUCCAACAUUCACACUCAUGCAGCUGCUCCUGAGGGACAGGCUGUGAGCUGGAACAUUGUUUGUGAAAGGUGUUUUUUUUCUGUGAAAGGUGAACAGACGACGAGGCCUUUGUCCACAUCCGGUUUGAAGUUGAAAGUGAAAGGAGAAAAGACGUUCACAUCACGGCAAGACCCUGUUGGACCAGUUGGAUCUGAAGCGCAGGCUGUAGUCCAGACUGAUCCUGGCUCUGAAAUACACUCAUGACGUCCAGCUGGUAACAUGUCUGAGGGAGAGGACCCUGGGUAACAUCCCCACCUUGCUGGGUCAGACACCUGAGGAGGCUGAGAUUUGGAGCAGGCCUGGAGCACAUCAGUGACAGUAGGAUGUAUAAUCUCGGUGACCCAUCUUCAUGGCCAAACUCCCCCACAAGUUCCUGUGUCACCAGAGGUUGGCCUUAUCGCUGCCUCCCACCUUACUAUAAGACAGGAGAUACUUACGCUCACACUUCCUCUCCAGAAUACUGGUGUGCCACUUGAUGUUUUUUAAUGAAUUUCGUCCUUUAUUUUUCUAAGCACUAAUUUGAGCAUUAAUGGAAAGUUUAUGUUAGAGAGUGAGUUGUGUGAUAAAAAUACUCUGAACCCUGUCUGUCCAGUAAACUAUUGUUUCUCUUUUGCUUUGCAGUCUCUACAGUAAAAAUAGACCUUGAUUAAUAGUCAGCCAUCACAUUUAACUUAUUAUGGCACUCAGAGUAUUUUGAUGGGAAUACUUGUUUGUUAUAAACUUGUUAGAUUGAAGGUUAUUAUCCGCAAUAACCUGGAUAUUGCUGAUUUACAAAUGUUAGUGCUGCAUCAGAGCUGAUUUAUCUUGAUUACAGUUUCACAGCUUGAAUAUUACCCAAUGUUUUAAUAAUAAUAAUCACUGAAGGGUUAGUCACCAGGUGUAGCUGAUACUGUGGAGAUGUGCUGUGUCAC